rnacentral:rRNA from 1 species
AUGAGCCUGAACCUGCAUUGGCACGGGAGAACUUCUUUUCCUUUGUGGUUGUGGAAGCAUCGCAAUGGAUGCCUGUUCGAGGGAGACCGGCCGUCAGUCAGACGUGUGGUGCGUGCAAUCCAGGAGGAGGCUCGACUAUGGGCGCGUGCCGGCGCCAAGGGACUUGCAACUAUCAUCCCGGAGACGUAG